ACGACCUUACUUGAACAGGAUCUGUUCUAUAGGCUCAUACCACUGUAUCCUUGAGUUCUAAGGAGACAGGAAACCAAGUAUAGUGGAUAAAUUAUGGCCACUAGACCAGAGCGUGACUAACAACCCCACGGGAAGGUCAUGGAGCUGUAGAGGAUUGUUCUCAGACCCGAUUAUGGUGCUGAGAUGGUCUAAUGACUGUUUGACAGAAC